rnacentral:lncRNA from 1 species
GUGGUCAGUCCCCAUUCCAGGCCACUGCCUCUUGCCAUAUCGUCUCUGUCUUCAGCCUUCAGCUCUUCUGGGUGUGUGCUUAUUGUACCAGCAUCUGCCGGCAGUCUUCAGCCAGGGUUGACGAGCCCAUGACCAUGUUCCUCUGGACACUUUGUACUAGCCCCUCUGUCCUCCGUCCUAUUGUGCUUUCUUUUGAGCUGGAAAGGAAACCGUCGAAGAUCGUCCCAUUAGAACCUCCUCGGCUACAGCGAUUCCAGUGUGGAGAGCUCCCUUUCCUGACUCACGUGAACCCCAGGCUCCGAUUGUCCUGCCUUUCUAUCCGAGAGUCAGAGUACUCCAGCUCUCUGGGGAUCCUUGCUUCCUCCUGUUAACUGAACUGCAAGGAUGGCCUGAGAGUCCUUCCUUGCUGAAAACCUGAAGGCCUAGGUCCUGGCUCCUCUCCCUACUUGUUCUGUGAUUGAACCAAGGACUCCAGAUUCACAAACUGCUACUCCACUAUAAUUUCCCUUCUUUGGUGUUCUGGUGCCAGCCUGCCUUGGCAAAAUUGUGGCAACAGGAAAUCAUGGCCC